rnacentral:rRNA from 1 species
AUACAGCGGACGGCAACCGUACACCUACUUGGGGUACCUCGGGAAUGAAUACCACGAUAGAUCAUUGCCUGAAUGGUUAUGGUCGAAAUAGUUUACUGCCCAUGGGAUGGGACCUUGCGGCCCCUAUCAGCUUGUUGGUGANGGUAAUGGCCCACCAAGGCUAUAACAGGUACGGNGCUCUGAGAGGAGAAGCCCGGAGAUGGGNGNUACUGAGACACGGACCCAGGCCCUANUUUGGGGCGCAGCAGGCGAGAAACCUUAGGCAAUGUGCGAAAGCACGACUGGGGUCAGUCCGAGUGAAUUCCCCUGCUAAAGGAAUCUUUUGGCUUGUCCCCUAAAAGCACAGGNUGAANAUAAGGGGGNNUGGGCAAGUCUGGUGUCAGCCGCCGCGGUAAUACCAGCACCUCGAGUGGUCAGGACGUUUAUUUGGGGCCUAAAAAGCAUCCGUAGCCGGCUCUGCAAGUCUUCGGUUAAAUCCACCUGCUCAACAGAUGGGCCGCUGGAGAUACUACAGAGCUAGGGAGUCG